CUAAAGUUGGCCAGUACAAAUUCUCCACUAGUCUUUCUUUUAUUUACGUUUUUCUGUUCAAAAAAUAACUUCACUGUCAGGUCAUUUUCUUCUCAAGCUCUUCGUCUGCUUCAUCUACAUUCAUCUCUCAGGUCUCCUGAACACGAUGGCUAAUUUUGCUAUUCUGGCAACGUAUAAAGAACAGAAGCUAUCCUAUACCCUAGGGCUGUGUUUGCUUCACAAUAAUAAACAUGGGAAUAGGAAUCUUAUUCCCUAUCCCAUGUUUGGUUUAACUAUUUGCAUUCCAGAAUCAAACAUGCAUGAGAAUAUGGAAAGCACAAUGAUAAAAUAAAGUACUGGGCUAGUAUCAUUUUUUGUCUUGAUACGGUUUGGAUUGUGACCGGUGGUGGGUAGCCGUAGCUUUUCAUGAAACUGAUUGGACUGACAGAAGAUAUCCCACCCACCAAACAAAAUGCUCCUUUUCUCCCUGUGUUCCUAUAUAUAGCUAGCGGUUGUUCCCAAAGAACAUGGAAUUAUCUAAUCCUGACAACUUCAAAUGCAACGAGAGAUUAAAUUAAGGAAGGUGGUGGGGCUGGAGUGGAUGUGGAGCCCAUAGGUCAAUAUUUCUUUUAUUGUUCUUCUGUAAAGUAAAAGGACACGUAGGUAAUUUUCUUAAACUAUUGUGUUUCUCUUUAAUCUUUUAUGGAAAAUGAUAGAGUCAUGAAGGUUGCGUACCGAAUUUAUGUACCGAAUGACGUAGUGAAAUCUUAACCGUUGAUUAAUAUUAACUGAUAAUGAAUUAAUGGUCAGAAUUUUAUCACGUUAUUU